rnacentral:rRNA from 1 species
GAUGAACGCUGGCGGCGUGCCUAAUACAUGCAAGUCGAGCGAACAGACGAGGAGCUUGCUCCUCUGACGUUAGCGGCGGACGGGUGAGUAACACGUGGAUAACCUACCUAUAAGACUGGGAUAACUUCGGGAAACCGGAGCUAAUACCGGAUAAUAUAUUGAACCGCAUGGUUCAAUAGUGAAAGACGGUUUUGCUGUCACUUAUAGAUGGAUCCGCGCCGCAUUAGCUAGUUGGUAAGGUAACGGCUUACCAAGGCAACGAUGCGUAGCCGACCGGAGAGGGGGAUCGGCCACACUGGAACUGAGACACGGUCCAGACUCCUACGGGCGGCAGCAGUAGGGAAUCUUCCGCAAUGGGCGAAAGCCCGACGGAGCAACGCCGCGUGAGUGAUGAAGGUCUUCGGAUCGUAAAACUCUGUUAUUAGGGAAGAACAAAUGUGUAAGUAACUAUGCACGGCUUGACGGUACCUAAUCAGAAAGCCACGGCUAACUACGUG